rnacentral:rRNA from 1 species
UACGUAGGGACCGAGCGUUGUCCGGAUUUAUUGGGCGUAAAGCGCGUGUAGGCGGCCAGAUAGGUCUGCUGUGAAAACUCGAGGCUCAACCUCGAGCUGUCGGCGGAAACCAUCUGGCUAGAGUCCGGAAGAGGAGAGUGGAAUUCCCUGGUGUAGCGGUGAAAUGCGCAGAUAUCAGGAAGAACACCUAUGGCGAAGGCAGCUCUCUGGGACGGUACUGACGCUGAGACGCGAAAGCGUGGGUAGCAAACAGG